UGAAUACGAGAUGCUACGGCGUCGAAGCAGUGUAUGUCAGACUUCCAAGAAAAGCUCGCAAUGUCAUAAAUAAAGAAUGCCUGUACCAUAACCGACACAGGUGGGUAGGUAGAGUAUACAAAGGGGCGCGAGAUAACUCUCUCUAAGGAACUCGGCAAAAUAACUCCGUAACUUCGGGAGAAGGAGUGCCUUCUUUAAGAAGGUUGCAAUAACAAGAUCCAAGCAACUGUUUAUCAAAAACACAGGUCUCCGCUAAGUCGUAAGACGAUGUAUGGGGGCUGACGCCUGCCCAGUGCCAGAAGGUUAAAGAAGUUGGUUAGCUUUUGCGAAGCUGAUGACUGAAGCCCUGGUGAACGGCGGCCGUAACAAUAACGGUCCUAAGGUAGCGAAAUUUCUUGUCGGGUAAGUUCCGACCCGCACGAAAGGCGUAAUGAUUUGGAUACUGUCUCGGAGAGGGACUCGGUGAAAUAGACUUGUCUGUGAAGAUGCGGACUACCUGCACCAGGACAGAAAGACCCUAUGAAGCUUUACUGUAACUUGAAAUUGAAAUUGGACUUUAUUUGCGCAGUAUAGGUGGAAGGCGUUGAAAGUAAUCUUGCGGGAUUAGUGGAGCCAUCAGUGAGAUACCACUCCUAUAAUGUUAGAUUUCUAACUUUGGAUCAUGAUCUGGUCAAAGAACAGUUUCAGGCGGGCAGUUUGACUGGGGCGGUCGCCUCCCAAAUGGUAACGGAGGCGUACAAAGGUUUCCUCUGAACGGGUAGAAAUCGUAUCUAGAGUGUAAAGGCAUAAGGAAGCUUGACUGUGAGACCUACAAGUCGAGCAGGGACGAAAGUCGGUCUUAGUGAUCUGACGGUGCUGAGUGGAAAGGCCGUCACUCAACGGAUAAAAGUUACUCUAAGGAUAACAGGCUGAUCUCCCCCAAGAGUUCACAUCGACGGGGAGGUUUGGCACCUGGAUGUCGGCUCAUCGCAUCCUGGGGCGGUAGUACGUCCCAAGGGUUGGGCUGUUCGCCCAUGAAAGCGGUACGCGAGCUGGGUUCAGAACGUCGUGAGACAGUUCGGUCCAUAUCCGGUGUAGGCGUUAGAAUAUUGAGAGGAGCCUUCUUUAGUACGAGAGGACCGAGAAGGACAUACCUCUGGUGUACCAGUUACCGUGCCAACGGUAAACGCUGGGUAGCUAUGUAUGGAGAGGAUAACCGCUGAAAGCAUCUAAGUGGGAAGCCCACCUCAAGAUGAGUAUUCGC
rnacentral:rRNA from 1 species